UCUGCGGCGUGUGUUGGAAACAAGGGAGAGGAAGAAGCCCUUGGGGACGACAGGCGCCACCGACGGCGGGUCGCCAGGCUGGGGCUAGAACGGCGCCAGGGCGGACCAGAGGAACGGCCGCAAGAGCUAGGGGGCCCCGGGGGAGGUGCUGUGGAGGUGGCGGGACCUGUGGGAUCGACGUCGUCCAGGAGCCGCCCAGCCGCGGGAGCGGGGCUCCGGAGGAGGGUGUGCGCUCCGACCCGGGCGAGGCUUCCCCUCGCUCCCUCAUCUCUUCUAACCUCCACCUGGGCUCGGAGUCAUGCUCUGACCGCGGGCGCUGCCCAGGGAGACCGAGUUCCUUGAGAGCGACUCCUGGGCGCCGGGGGAAGACAGGGCUGGAAGAGACGGCAGCCCGUUAAAAAGAAGAGCUGGGAUACCAGCAAAAAGGACCCAAAAGACUAUUUUACCACAUUUGAAGAGGUCGUUGGCCAUCCCCCCAAAAUGAAUCCCAACACUGGAAGACCAAGAGGUGCAGCUCCUACAGAGAAGAUCCUAAAUCAGAAGGAGCACAGGUGGGUGGCCAUAGCAUGGACCCCCAAAAAGCCACUGUCAUGAAGAAAUAUCCUGUGCAGAAAAGUUUACAGGGCAUCUGAACCCCCGAAGCCACUGAGGAGAAGGUAAGGAAAUACUUUGGUGAGUUUGGGAGGUGAGU